CAUUGUGUGGUGAUAACUGGAGGAGAGGGAUAGCUGGAUAGUGGCGGCCAAGAUUUCAUAGUGACAUCACACAUCCUUCAAGGUCGUCUCUUUCUGUUGCUGUGAAGCAGAAUUCCCCCCAGUUUUGGGUUGUUCACUCACUAAUAGCAAAAAUGAGCUUUGAGUUUUUCUGUCAAGAGGCAGGUUAGUUUUACCCCACUGGUUUGUGUUGUUGCAAUAGUAAUCCUGCUUUGUGUAAGAGGAACUGCAGGUUCAGACAGUUGGUGCUUGUCAGUGGAGCAAAUGAUUUGCAGCUACUAUCUGUCAGAAUUACUGGAAGGUUACUUACUCCAAGUCAUAAGCAAUAAAGAGAUUUUAAGGAAAGCUUUACAUUUGAACUUUUGAUGAAUAAUUUUACUCAAUGCUUCAGGCAACAUAGUGAUAUAAAAACCAUGGCUUCAGGAGUAGUAUGCAAUUCUUAUAAAUAUUAAUUUAAAUUAACUUACAAAUUU
rnacentral:ncRNA from 1 species